ACCAUGGUCAUGAAAUUCAAAAUGUGCAGUGUGUACAAAGAUACAUCAGAUGAACACAGAAACCCUAACUCCCUAGCAGCAAAACUCAAAACCGCACACGAGCAAAAUUGGAUAAAAAUAGGCAUUCAAUCAUGUUCAGGGGGUUGAAUAUAGCAUUUCUCAUUCACACAUUAAGUCAUGAAAACCAUUUUAUCAAGCAUUUCGAAAGCAAGUUGCACCUGAACAGGGCAAUGUUGAAUGUGAUGUUAGAGGUGCCUUAAUGAUGCUAGAUGAUCCUUUUAGCUCCUUUGAUGCUCCAGGAAUGUAAUGCCUUUGAGAAUUUGCCUUAAAACCUCCUCAACUGUUCUAGCCAAUUCAAGUUGCAAGUGUGAAAACUUGAGAUUUGGAUAUGAUGAUUUAAUGAUACAGAUGGGAUUUUCUGCCUAUAGUAGCUUCUACAUGUUAUAUGGAAGGUGUUUGAAUGGAUGGUUUGCAAGGGACUUGAGGAAAUAUGACUUUUGAAAAUUUGGAUUUUUGAGUAGAAAGUGAGUUUUGCAAAUGGUGAGUUUGUCUAUUGUUUUGUUAGCAGUUGGUUUGUGUUGGUAAGGUUCUUUGAGUUUUGCCAAGUGAAGGCUUUUGGAAUAUGAGAACAUCAUGGUUUUCUUGCUGUGUUAUGUUUUGACAGAAAUGAGUGUGUGAUGAAGUCUAAGCAAGGCCAAGUUAUGUUUGGUUCAUGUGAGUCUUGCAAGUGGGUGUAAUGAGUGAAUGAUAGUGAAAAGGCAAAUGGCUAGGUUUGUUUGGAAAAUGCAAGUGGGGGCAAGGCUGGUCUGUAGCUGCCACUGUCUUGUUGACAGGAAAAUGGGAAUGGCUAAAAGCAGCAAGGUGGUUUUUUAGAGAGUGUAUGAAGUUCUUGGUUUGGUAUAGUUAGGUUGGCUGCUGUUUGGCAAUGAUGAGAAAUUGAGAUGAACAAAAUGCUAUGCUUUAGUUUCUUUGGUUUUGGAACAGGCUUCACACAAUGCAAAAGGUUAGUUUUUGAGCAAAUGAAUGAAUGAAAUCUCUAGGUUUCUUGGCUGUCAAAGGUGGUUGAGUGCCAGGAAAAUGAGGUUUGGGCAUGCUUUGGUCCUUAGGGUUUUUACAGAAAGUUUGAAAUGCCAAAGGGCAAGGUCAAACACAGGUUUUGUAGGAUGAGUGCUUUUUCUGCAAUGUGUUUUUGAGAGGGGGAGUAGUAUGCUGCUGCUAUUUAUGACAGGAAAUGGUGAGGAAAAUGGUAUGCUGCUGCUGAUUGUAUGUUGUUGUUUUGACAGCCAAUGAUAAAAA
rnacentral:lncRNA from 1 species